rnacentral:rRNA from 1 species
UACAGAGGGUGCAAGCGUUGUUCGGAAUUACUGGGCGUAAAGGGCGCGUAGGCGGUUUAGCAAGUCAGAUGUGAAAGCCCGGGGCUCAACUCCGGAAUUGCAUUUGAAACUGCUAGGCUAGAGUGCAGUAGAGGAUGGCGGAAUACCCAGUGGAGAGGUGAAAUUCGUAGAUAUUGGGUGGAACACCGGUGGCGAAGGCGGCCAUCUGGGCUGUAACUGACGCUGAGGCGCGAGAGCGUGGGGAGCAAACAGG